UACGGAAGGCAGCAGUGGGGAAUAUUGCACAAUGGGCGCAAGCCUGAUGCAGCCAUGCCGCGUGUAUGAAAAAGGCCUUCGGGUUGUAAAGUACUUUCAGUCGUGAGGAAGGUGUUAAGGUUAAUAACCUUAGCAAUUGACGUUAGCGACAGAAGAAGCACCGGCUAACUCCGUGCCAGCAGCCGCAGUAAUACGGAGGGUGCGAGCGUUAAUCGGAAUUACUGGGCGUAAAGGGCACGCAGGCGGUUAAUUAAGUUGGAUGUGAAAUCCCCGGGCUUAACCUGGGAAUGGCAUUCAAGACUGGUUAGCUAGAGUCUUGUAGAGGGGGUAGAAUUCCAUGUGUAGCGGUGAAAUGCGUAGAGAUGUGGAGGAAUACCGGUGGCGAAGGCGGCCCCUGGGACAAAGGACUGACGCUCAUGUGCGAAAGCGUGGGGAGCGAAACAGGGAUUAGAUACC
rnacentral:rRNA from 1 species